GGCCUUUUAAAGCAUGCUCCCAUGCAAGGGAGGGAUUUACAGUCAUUAGUACAGUAGCCAAUCCUGUCCUGGUAACCUCCCACACAUCUCCUCCCCUCAGCCUGCAUCAUAAUCCCCUUAUCCAGUACAGCAAUUCCCCCCAUUUCUGGAUGUACCCCUAAACGUAGGGGUACCCCCUUAAAUCAUACAUCCCCUGGUAGCCCUGAUCUGGGUGAACAACAUAUCCAAAAAUCACCCAGAUCAGACCAGGUGUUCGGGAAACUUAUGGAGGGAAUAAAAUGACCGACCGCACUGAGUGAAGCAUCCGAAUGCGGUUCCAUGUGAAUGGGCCCUGCGGUUGGUCCUGGAGUCAAGGAAUGAAUGGCACGAAAACCUCUAGCUAUAGAGGCUAGGGAGGGUUCGCCUGAAUCCCCGAGGGGCCGUUCGGUAGAUAGGAACCGAACGGACCGGGCUUGUGGAGGUUUCAGCGGUGUUCGCCUAGUCGAGUGUCCGAUUUGAGUUCCAGACACUCGACGUCAAAACACCGCUGUUCGGGAGUUUUAAAAUGGCCGCCGCCACGUGUUCGUUUUUCGAAUGGCGGCCACCCCCGAGAACAAAGGACGGCUACUUAACUUGUCAAUUGUAAUUGAGGACACACUUCACACAGGGGAGGUCUGAUUGUUCGGUAGUUUCAUUCCCUUAGUUUAUUCAAAUGAUUCUACCGAACAAUCAGAGGAAUACAUUUCUUUUAAACACAUAUAAAACCAGCAGUUUACACGAAUGCAACUAUUCACAUGACAUUUGCAGGACAGCCCAGUGCCAUCCGCUACAGUGUGUCUGUUACUGAGUGUGUUUGUGUGUGUCUGUUAUUGAGUGUCUACUAGUGAGGGUCAGUGUGUGUUAUUGAGCGUGUUAGUUUGUGUGUCUGUUAAAGAGUCUGUUUGGUGUGUGAGUCUGUCAGGAAAUGUGUGUAUGUGUCUGUUCGUGAGAGUGUGUGUGGUUAAAACUCUUUCAACACUUACCUUUCUCCAGCGCCAGGCUCUCUUGGGAUCUCUCCGCUCCCCUCUCAGCUCCGAAUGCGCAUUCGGGGCAAGAGCCGCACGCGCAUUCAAACCGCCCAUAAGAAAGCAUUACUCACUGCUUUCCUAUGGACGUCCAGUGUCUUCUCACUGUGUUUUUCACAGUGAGAAUUGAGGAAGCGCCUCUAGCGGCUGUCAGUGAGACAGCUACUAGAGGCUGGAUUCUCUGAAACUAUGUUUUCAGCUGCAGGGUUAAAACUAGAGGAACCUGGCACCCAGACCACGUCAUUGAGCUGAAGUGAUCUGAGUGCCUAUAGUGGUCCUUUAAGUGUUUGUAUCUGCAUGCAAUGGCGUACAUAGCGCGAUUGCAGACAAGGUGCCCGCCGCCAUGUGUUGGGGCCAUGACCCGCGUAGAGUAAGCGGGGGGGUGGCCCACGGAUCAAUUUUCGCACCGGGGCCCCGUGGAUCGUGUGUGUACGCCACUGCUCCUCAAUCUUGUUAGAUUGAGCAUUCACACAUCAAUCUUGCUCUUGCAACGUCAUGCAAUUAUUUUCAAGUUUACACAAUGUUCAAAGAAUCUUUGGAAACAGUAAUGCUUGUUAUCUAAUCUUCAAAUCUCUAUAGUAUAUUUACUGCAGCACUCAAAAGAAACUAAGCCUGUAAAUUGCUUUUUUUCCCUUCGUGACGCAGCAGAAACUAAACCUCGUACAAUGUUAGUUUCACUUUUACUCACAAUCUACAUAAACCGUUUUAACAAUUUCUAAACACAAUUUUCUUAUUUUAAACGAUUCUUAACAAAUUUUAACACAAUAUUCUUAGUUAAACUAUUUUAAAUUGUUGAUUUCAAAUUUACUUGUUCAACUAAUACUCAACCCUGCUUGCAGCGCCAAAAUGUUGUGCCUAAUCAUUAAAUUCAUGAACACCAAUAUGCAGAAAGUAAUAAUCAAUACCUAAUAAGGUUUAUAAUGAUAUUGGUGGGCACACAACCCAGUUCGGGAUGAGUAUCUUGAACUAUAGGAAAGAGAAAUCACACAGAGACCAAGUUGGAUUUAAGAAUUCACGCCACACUUUUUUUGUCCACAAAAGGGACUCAAUACAGUAAGCUUUACUCUUUAAGUUGUUGCAUGCAUUCACUUCAAACAGCUUAGUAUCUAGAUAUAUCUGCUUAAGUAUAAAUUACCAUUAGAGGGGCUUGGUUGUCUCCUUGCUGCACAUGACUGGGGGAACUCAGGCAGUCAGACUUGGAGGGACCCUCUCUUCUGGGAACAGCAGAGACCAGCAAUACGUGUCCGUAUUACAGGUGGGUAGUUUUCCAAGUGAGUGCCAAGUUUCUCCAUCUUUUAUACCUUUUUACCAACAAGAUAUAGUCUUUACUUUUCCAAGUUAUCAGUGCAGCCCAGCAUGUAAAUAUCAUGCGCAUUAAGUGAUCCGCAGCAUGGAUCCUCUUGGGCCAGGUGAUGUCUGGAGAGGUGGCAGUGGCUGGACAGGUAGUGGUGUGAUGGAUGGCUCUUGUGCAGUUACACUGUGGGUAGUCUUAAAGCUGGACCCUGGGCUUAUGUCCUCCUCCAGGGAUCAGGCAAUCAAUUCUGCAGAAGACAGCGCCACCUCAAUCACACUCUCCUAAUGUGACCGGAGGACUGGUUAAUGAAGCGAGCUGUUCUCUUUGCCUCUCCCAACAGAUUGCCUUUGACCUGAAAUAGAAGAGAGAGGCAAUGUUGGUAACAUGCAAGCAAAUGGAUUUGUGGACAUGUUGUAGACCUUAUUACAUGUAUCCGUGAGCUGUGUGUCCGCUUCCAAGUGGAGAUGAAUGCGCAUUCUCGGCCAGAGAAGCGGGCGCAUUCAAACCCGCCUAUAGAAAAGCAUUACUCAGUGCUUUCCUAUGGGGAUCUUCUUUGACACUGGACUCCAUGAGGAGACAACGACUAGAGGCUGGAUUAACCCUGCAGUGUAAACAUAUUAGUUUCUUUGAAACUGCCAUAUUUUCAGCUGCAGGGUUAAAACUAGGGUGAUCUGGCACCCAGACCACUUCGUUGAGCUGAAGUGGUCUGGGUGCCUGUAGGGGUCCUUUUAGGAGAUAAAAAUUGUACCUGUUAAAUAGAUACAGUAACCCCAGUGGCGUACUAACGGGGGUGGGGGAGGCUGCCCACCCGGGGUGCCACUCACUAGGGGAUGCAAUGACUGGCAGUGUCAUAAGUCACCACCCCCCAUCAAUUCAUAUGGUGCAUUUGCGGCCACACUAUACUGCACUGAUUGCAGCAAUAUGGAGGAGCAGUGGCAGGAGUUUUGCAGCGUCACUCAGUGUGACGCUGAAGUCACGCAGACGUGUGUUGCUGCAGCCUGUCCACCUUAACGGAGCGGAAGGAUCCAUCAUCCUGUGAAGCACCAGUGGUCGGAGGCUCGGAGCAGAGCAGGUCAGCGGAGAGGCAUUAUCAAAUGUGAGUAGAGAAUAUAAUUUUAUGUGAAGGGAGGGUUGGGGAGGUGCAGGUUUUUUUUUUUAUUUUAUUUUUUUUAUUAAGGGGAUGUGCAGGCUUUUCUUUUAAUUAAGGUGGUGUGCAUGUCUUUUUUAUUACUUAAGGGGGGGUUGUGCAGGGUUUUUAAUUAAGGAGGUGUGUGCAGUUAAUGGGUGUGCAGGAUUUUUUAUUAAGGGGGGCAUGCAGGGGUUUUAUGUGUAGGUUGGGUGUAUGAAUUUGAUGUGUAGGUGGGGUGCAGAAUUUUUAUGUGUAGGGGCUGUAUGCAGGGCUGCCAUCAGAAAUUUUAGGGCCCCUGACACAGCUCAAGAUCUGGGCCCCCAGGGCCAGCCCUGAGUCCGCCCACAAGGAUAAAGUGUGUGUGUGUGUGUAUGUAUAGUGGAUGUAGAAUGUAUGUAGUGGAUGUGGUACGUGUGUCAUAGAUGCAGUGUGUAUAGUGGAUGCAGAUUGUAAGUUUUGUGUAAUGUGUACAUGCAUUAGAUGCAGUGUGUGUAGCGAAUGUAGCGUGUGUGUGUAGCGAAUGCAGCGUGUGUAGUGCAGAGUGGGCCCAGCAGCACUGUCUUCCUUUCCAGCUCGUCUGACUAACUCUCAUGAGACCGGCCUGCGUGCUUUGCGGAGUGUUGCCAUGGUAACCCGUGGCAACGCUCUGGCGGCCGCAGGAAAGUUAGACAGAGAGCAGCUGGAAAAGAAGUAAGAGAGUGUGCUGC